CCUACGGGAGGCAGCAGUGAGGAAUAUUGGUCAAUGGGCUUACGCCUGAACCAGCCAAGUCGCGUGAGGGAAGACUGCCCUAUGGGUUGUAAACCUCUUUUGUCAGGGAGCAAUUGGCGCUACGUGUAGCAUUAUCGAGAGUACCUGAAGAAAAAGCAUCGGCUAACUCCGUGCCAGCAGCCGCGGUAAUACGGAGGAUGCGAGCGUUAUCCGGAUUUAUUGGGUUUAAAGGGUGCGUAGGCGGAAUGCCAAGUCAGCGGUAAAAUCGCGGGGCUCAACCUCGCUCCGCCGUUGAAACUGGCGUUCUAGAGUGGGCGAGAAGGAUGCGGAAUGCGUGGUGUAGCGGUGAAAUGCAUAGAUAUCACGCAGAACUCCGAUUGCGAAGGCAGCAUACCGGCGCCCAACUGACGCUGAAGCACGAAAGCGUGGGUAUCGAACAGGAUUAGAUACCCUUGUAGUC
rnacentral:rRNA from 1 species